UCAAUAUUCUCUCUUCUUUUAUCUCUCGCCCCACAUUCUUCGGAUUCCUCUUUCCUGCAUGAAGUUUCUAUUCUCAAUAUCAAGUUAAUAGUAGGAUUCUCAUCAGAAAGUCUUUUUUGUUUUUUCUGUUUUAGUUUCUGUGUGAUCGUGUAAGGGCUUGGUUUCUUCUCUAUUCCAUGGCUGUUUCUCAAGUGCCUGAAAGUGUAGGCACCACCGCCACUGCAACUACUACUACUACUACUUCUGCCUCCGUUCACAGCGAUUUGGAUCUCAAUCUUGCUUCUCUUCGUCGAAGGCCCCUGUCCGGGUCUUCUGUUAGGCCUGAGGCUUCUGAAGCUGAGAGUUCUGCUGAGGAUGUUCUCAGAGAUUCUGGCUCCAAUUAUUCCAAGGCCGGCGCCGAAGAUGGCAAUCAGAAGUUGGAAGGUCCCAAUGUGAUCAGCCAGAAGGUUCCAGAGCAGCUCCCUGAUGUUUCCGCCCUGAAGUUUGCUUAUCGUCCUUCGGUUCCGGCUCAUCGCAGAAUCAAGGAAAGCCCUCUCAGCUCCGACAAAAUUUUCAGACAGAGUCACGCGGGCCUUUUCAACCUCUGUAUUGUAGUGCUUGUUGCGGUGAACAGUCGACUCAUCAUUGAGAAUUUAAUGAAGUAUGGUUGGUUGAUUAAGUAUGACUUUUGGUUUAGCUCAAGAUCAUUGAGAGACUGGCCACUCUUCAUGUGUGGCCUCUCCCUUGCAAUAUUUCCUGUUGCUGCCUUUGCAGUGGAAAAAUUGGCGCAAAAGAAGUAUAUACCUGAUCCAGUUGUUGUUUUACUACAUGUAACCGGUACGUCAGCUGCAGUGUUAUACCCGGUUUUAGUAAUCCUCAGGAGUGAUUCUGCUUUUUUAUCAGGCAUUGUAUUGAUGCUUUUGGCUUGCAUCGUCUGGUUAAAACUGGUGUCUUAUGCUCACACCAACUAUGAUAUGAGAGCAAUGGCUAGAUCAAUUGAAAAGGGAGAAGCACUACCCAAUACUUUGAAUAUAGAGUGCCAAUUCAACGUGAGCUUGAAGAGCUUGGCAUACUUCAUGGUUGCUCCUACAUUAUGUUACCAGCCAAGCUAUCCCCGCACACCGUAUGUUCGAAAAGGUUGGGUGUUUCGUCAGCUUAUUAAGCUGAUAGUAUUUACUGGAGUUAUGGGAUUUAUCAUAGAACAAUAUAUUAAUCCUAUCGUCCAAAAUUCAGAACAUCCUUUGAAGGGAAACCUCCUAUAUGCCCUCGAAAGAGUCCUCAAGCUUUCUGUUCCUAAUUUAUAUGUGUGGCUCUGCAUGUUCUACUGCUUUUUUCACCUUUGGCUCAAUAUACUUGCUGAGCUUCUUCGGUUUGGUGAUCGUGAGUUUUAUAAAGACUGGUGGAAUGCAAAAACUGUCGAAGAGUACUGGAGAAUGUGGAACAUGCCUGUGCACAAAUGGAUGGUCCGCCACUUAUAUUUUCCAUGCUUAAGGAAUGGUAUACCCAAGGGCUUACAGGGUUAGCUACAGGAUCAGCAAAAGGAAGAAGAAAAUAAAGACUAAGCCGAGGUUCCUAUGCAUUUGAUAGGCAUAGGCUCUCCAAUGGAAAUUCUCUCACAAUCCUGUUACCUUCCUCUGGCCCUGCUGUGCCUUUGACUAUAUCCCAAAUUCUGUCUCUUCUAACGGCCAGAGGUAUGACAGUUCCUCAUUCGCCUUGUGAAGUCUCACUUGGACCGUCCUCUUUCUUCUUCCUACUUCUCCUAGUAUGAGCCAGCAAAUGCCAGUCUCUUGCCUUCUGAAGUCUCAUUUGGACCCUCCUCUUUCUUCUUCCUACUUCUCCUAGUAUGAGCCAGCAAAUGCCAGUCUCUUGCCUUCUUCAAACUCCUAUAAUGUGUCUGCAAUUGAGGCCCCAAGUCCAUCCCCAUCAGAAGGAAGGUGGUUGAUCCAAAGAUAUGAAAAAGAAAGGAAACUGAUAUGAGCUUCCCCAAACCCAGUCACGAUGGCGUCACUAGGUGUUGCUAUUUUAAUCGCCUUCCUG